UACAGAGGGUGCGAGCGUUGUCCGGAAUCACUGGGCGUAAAGGGCGCGUAGGUGGCGGGCCAAGUCCAUGGUGAAAGCUCGAUGCUCAACAUCGAGUCGGCCACGGAUACUGGUUCGCUCGAGCACUGUAGAGGCUAAUGGAAUUCCGGGUGUAGCGGUGGAAUGCGUAGAGAUCCGGAAGAACACCGGUGGCGAAGGCGGUUAGCUGGGCAGUUGCUGACACUGAGGCGCGAGAGCGUGGGGAGCAAACAGG
rnacentral:rRNA from 1 species